UCGGUAAAACUCGUGCCAGCCACCGCGGUUAUACGAAAGACCCUAGUUGAUAGCCACGGCGUAAAGGGUGGUUAAGGUAUAAAAUAAAUAAAGCCAAAGAGCCUCUAAGUCGUCGUGUCGUCGUACACAUUUCGAAGCCCAAAUACGCAGGUUGCUUUGUUGCUUUAACACAAUAUACACCUGACCCCACGAAAGCUAAGAAACAAACUGGGAUUAGAUACCCC
rnacentral:rRNA from 1 species